ACCCGCUGAACUUAAGCAUAUUAAUAAGCGGAGGAAAAGAAACCAACAGGGAUGCCCCCAGUAGUGGCGAACGAAGAGGGCAAAGCUCAAGCCGAAUCUCCAGUCCCUUGCGGGCUGGCGAAAUGUAGCUUAUGGACUUCAGGGAGAUGGUGGGAAGAGACGUCUAAAUUGAACCUCGAAAGGUCAGCCAUAGAGGGUGAAAGCCCCGUAGGGCGUCUCUUGUCGUCAAUAGUCUCUCUGGUUUCCGAGAGUCGGGUUGUUUGAGAUUGCAGCCCUAAAACAGGUGGUUGAUCCCAUCUAAAGCUAAAUAUGGUGGCAAGACCGAUAGCGAAAAAGUACUGUGAAGGAAAGGUGAAAAGAACCCUGGAAAGGGAACUUAAAAGCACUUGAAAUCGUUAAAAGGGAAUCGAAGGUUAGCUUUGUACCACGUCAGAGGUUGCGGGUGUUGUCUGCCAACAGCAUUCUUAUCUCUCUGGCUUUGUGGAAUCAGAAGGUCGUUGGCUUCUUGUAGAAAGGGGGCGUCGAGGUACUUUGGGGGGGCAACUCCCUGGAGACUUACAAGGCGUUUUCAUAUAUCUUGGAGCUGGCGUCUUAAGUGAGGGC
rnacentral:rRNA from 1 species